GACCGCUCUGGUGGCCUAGUAGUUAGAGUAUCUGCUUUGGAUGCAGGAUGCCGUGGGUUCAAUCCCUGGCCAAGUCA